rnacentral:rRNA from 1 species
AGUGAACGCUGGCGGUAGGCCUAACACAUGCAAGUCGAACGGCAGCACAGUAAGAGCUUGCUCUUACGGGUGGCGAGUGGCGGACGGGUGAGGAAUACAUCGGAAUCUACUUUUUCGUGGGGGAUAACGUAGGGAAACUUACGCUAAUACCGCAUACGACCUACGGUUGAAAGCAGUGGAUCUUCUGACCUUGCGCGAUUGAAUGAGCCGAUGUCGGAUUAGCUAGUUGGCGGGGUAAAGGCCCACCAAGGCGACGAUCCGUAGCUGGUCUGAGAGGAUGAUCAGCCACACUGGAACUGAGACACGGUCCAGACUCCUAAGGGAGGCAGCAGUGGGGAAUAGUGGACAAUGGGCGCAAGCCUGAUCCAGCCAUACCGCGUGGGUGAAGAAGGCCUUCGGGUUGUAAAGCCCUUUUGUUGGGAAAGAAAAGCAGCAGGCUAAUACCCAGCUGUUCUGACGGUACCCAAAGAAUAAGCACCGGCUAACUUCGUG